GCCAUCUUGUCAUAUUGGCUAUAUUUCUAAGCCUGCUUGUCGUCGUUGUUGGGCGGUCGUGGUUCAUCGCAAAAUGACCUGAUGGGCUCCAUGGCUUGCUAGCUAAUAUUUUUAGCUAGCAAAGAAGUCAUUUGUUGUGGACUCGAAGAACCAUUUUGGGGGUGAACCGACGGUUUCGGUCAAGAAAAGUAAUUUUUACGCAUUGGAUGCACCUCAACGGUAUUGUUGGGCGGUUGGCCGAAAAUGGUUGGUAUGUGGAUACAAAGCGGAUCGUUUUUAAUGGCGGACGGGGGAUUGUGGAUGUGACGUCAACUUCGCCCUCAUGUCCUGGAUGACACUGGUCGGAAAAUUGAUAUCUGUUUUGGGGGGAUUUUUACUUCCAGAUGAAGAUCAAAAGAGAAAUCCAGGCGUUUUUGUUUGCUUUUAAGCACAGACGUUCAUACGGGGUCUGUGUUGUUGCUCUAUUGUUGGUGUGAUUUGACACUGAAGUAUAAGUGUUGCUGAUUGGUGUGUUGGGAUGGUUAUUCUGCUGUGACUUCUUUGGAGCCCCUGUGGUGUGUUAUUUUUUGAUAUAUUGUGUAUAUUAGUCUGUGGAAUGGGAAGGCUUUGCAAUAAAGUGGCUGUAGACAACUAGGAUUGAUUUGAGUGUUGUGCACUUGAGGAUACAAUGCUGCUGAGUGUCAAAGGGACAGAGCGAGUUGUCGAUUUGGUUGUUUAAAAUCCAAAGUGUGUGGAAUUUAGGGCAAAAACUAAUGGUUAUCAGGCGAGCCUCAUUGAGGUUUGCAUCUUUGUUGGAAGAGAUUUGUGAUAGACAGACAGGCACAGUAGGUGGACUGGUAUUGGUAUUGGGACAGUGUUUGGAGCCUGCAGUUCGGCAUCCCCUUGUGUGCUUGGGGUUGCAUGUAACAUGCAUGCUAGGGUAGUCACAGUUGUACACAGUGUAGGGCCCUAUGAAAUCUGUUAUUUUUCCCCAAAAAGUUUUGUUUAAAUGUUUCCCUGUUUCCCCUUUUUCAUUAAAAUUUCCCCUUAUUUUAUUUACACAGUUAAACAGGAUGUGGUAAACAGUGUUUGUGUUUUGAAGACUGUAAGUGUGUUUGUGUUGAAUGCGUGGAAGAAUAAAUGGUCGUUUGCAUUAACAAGUGGCAAAACACAUGUUGUAAACAAAUUCAUACAGCCCGAGCAGUACACACACAGUGGCACCCAGCAUGCACUGCUAAACUAAACUAACCCCGCUAUCUUCCAUUCACACUCCAUAAGUGAGGCAUCUGAUUGUUGCCACAUUUUUAGUCAUGGGAUUGAGCGGUCCGCUCAGGAAAUACACAAUGACAACAUUUCAUUCACAUGUCAGUUUUCGCGUCCCACAGUAGUUAUUGCCGAAUUCCGCGAUUCUAUCAAAGCAGACAUCAUCGGGCCCUACAUUGGUGUAAAUGGUUGUCUAUAUGUAGCCUGUGAUUGGCUGCUGACCAAUCCAAGGUGUACCCUGCCCCUCACCCACACUCAGUUGGGACAGGCUCCGGCUCAACUGUAACCCUAAUGAGGACCAGCGUUUCUAGAAAAUGGAUACUUUAUAUAUCAUGGAUAUUUUAGGCCCUUCUUGUUUAGACCAAAUGCAUCUAUGGGAUAUUUGUUUUGAAGGGCUAUCUUGGUUGGACAACUUCCGGAUGGUUUGUCAGUUUUGAUGGAAUGGAGGAUUGGACCAAUGAGGCUACGACUGCAUUUUCUAUCAACAGGAACCUUUUAAUUGAAGUUGGUUGGGAACUUUAUUGACUGUCGACAUUCUAAGGGCUUGAGAUUUGUGUCACCAAGUUGUUUUUCUGAAAAUGAAAUUUACAUAUUUGGUUACAGUGGCAUGAUGGACAAGAAUGUUCUUCAGACAUUUAUCAGGUCAUAAGUGGUGGCAUUUAGGCAAGUCAAUAGGUGCUGUUUUAAUAGCAAGCAUUGUUGGUGGCUUAGGCAAACAUGGGAUGAGAAAUGGUUGCGGUCGGAACCAAACCUAUUAGUUUCUUCUGGGAUAAGUCAUUCAAACACAAAGGGACUUGAGAAUUACUCUUGUGGUGAGAAACUGUCCACAGCAGUUUUGCAUCCUACCAUUUUGAGCUUUGGGGUUCUACACAUUUUUAGACAUUGUUUGGUUAAGUGGUGGCAUGUUGGAGUGGCAGGUUGCUGAGCUGGGAAGCUCUGGUGGGAAUAAUGCAAUUCUAUACCCUUCUGUCUGCAGGUGCUGUUGUUUGUGCUUCAGCAUGGCAGUCGUCAUCCGUUUACAGGGACUGAGGAUCACUGCUGGUUCUCAGGAAAUUCGCAAAUUCUUCACCGGCCUCAAAAUUCCAGACGGCGGCGUGCACAUAAUUGGUGGGGAGCGGGAAGAAGCUUUCAUUAUUUUUGCUUCGGACGAAGAUGCGAGAAGAGCCAUGACACGCUCGGGGGGUCAAAUUAUGGGCGGGUGUGUUACUUUGCUGCUGAGCAGCAAAACGGAGAUGCAGAGUCUACUUGAAAAAAGUGCAAAAAAGGCGGAGGCAAAUCAGAAGAGUCACCAUGAAGACAACGGCAGGCAUGCCCGAAGGUCCAUGGAGUCCGACACAAGCCGGAGGGCAGCAAGUCGACAUGAGGUUUCCCCACCGACCCGCCAACCGAGGCCCUCAAACGACAAGUCCUUGUGUGUUUUUCUCAAAGGACUGCCGUUCACUGUGUCUGAAAGAGAGGUUUCUGAUUUUUUCAGUGGUUUACAUAUCAUUGACAUGACUCUACUGAAAAAUAAGGCCGGCAAAAACAACGGAAUGGGUCUCGUCAAGUUUUCCUGCAAUGAGGAAGUACUGGAAGCCCUGAAGAGGGAUAGGGAAUACAUCGGUUCUCGCUACGUGGAGGUUUCUCCGUCAUCAGAAGAGGAUUGGCGGCGGACAGUGGGACGGCAUCCCAUGGUUGCCAAUGCAGAAAGCGGCUGGUUUGAAAGACACGGAUCACCGGUACGCGGUCAAAGGAAUUUCCAUCAUUCUAUGAGGUCACAAUCUCCUCCAGGCCAGCACUGGGUCUCCUCGUCCUCUAGUGAGGAGUUCUGUGUUCUGGUGGAAAAUCUCUCCUUUGCAGUAGAAACAGAAGACAUUAAGAGACUCUUUCGCCAUGCAAACCUCGAGGAUGACCAAAUCUUGUUCAUGAAUGCAGAUGAUCACAAAAGUAGGUCUGCGUUUGUCCUCUUCAAGACCCUGCGAGAGUACCGUGAGGCAACAGCCCAGGAGAAGAAAUCGUUUUUCAAUCGAUGGAUUCAUACCCGCUCCAUUUCAAGAGAAAAAAUGGUAUCAAUUCUGGAAGAGAAGAGUAUUCAUUCCAGCCAUUCUGGAAAUGCAAGCAGGUUUAAUGAGAUGCCUCCGUCCCUAUCCAGGGAUCCCGACAUGGAGAAGGUUUGCCUGUAUGUGCAGAAUCUUCCCUUUGAUGUGCGGAAAGUUGAGGUUAUGGACUUCUUUUUUGGGUUCAGUAUCACGGAAGAAAAUGUGCUCUUGCUGCGUGACAAUAGAGGCACGGGGACCGGGAAGGCCUUGGUUCUAUUCCCUUCCGAGUCAGCAGCCAUGAGGGCCCUCUCUCUGAACGGACAGCGGUAUCUUGGUGCCGAGGUUGUCCUCAAAUGCAUUUCGCAGGUUCAGAUGCGGGAGUUGACCUCCGAGCUGCAGGGGUUUCAAGUACCACAGCAACCGUUUGAUUAUUUCCCCGGGGCCGGUAACAUGCAAAUGAACGCAGGGCCCCAAACCCACAGAGGCUGUGAUGAGUUCUACGGAGACCCGAGUGGCCCACUUGACAGAGGCAACGGUGCACACGAUCAUUUUGGUGGUCCAACUUGCGUGAAGCUGCUUAACUUGCCGUUCCAAAUCAGAACAGAAGAAAUCUAUGAUUUUUGCCACGGAUAUCACAUUAUACCCGGGUCUAUAUCGUUGCAGUACGACAGCAGCGGAGCAAGUAAAGGCACAGCAACUGUGGUGUUUGAGACCCGGCAGGAGGCUGUAACAGCAAUUGGAGACCUCAACGGGCGGCCAAUAGGUGCUCGGAAGAUCCAGCUUAGGUUUGUGUGAAAGCGACAUUGGGGUUUUAACAUGCAACUGGCUGAAGCGUUCUUAUUUUGAAUGCCGCAGCUUAGGUCGCAAUAGUGUUUUGAUUUUCAUGCUGUAUGGCUUAAUGCCUUUUUAAUGUUUAAGGACUUUUUGCUGUGUAUUUUUCCUCCAGUUGUAUCAUAUUUUUGUUGUUGGUUAAAGCUGUUGCCUGUACAUAUUAUGGAAUGCAUUUAUUCUACAAACCUUGACGUUAUCAAGUUGACCAGUUGUACUGUGUGUAUAUGUAUUGUACAGUUCACCAAGCUCUGUGUAUUCAUACUGUCAUAUGUUACUACACCAAUUUCAGAAGAAAGUGUUUCUUAUGUUUACCUGGGUUUUGUUUCAGUAGCAUAUUCUUCCAAAAUGCAAUUAAAGUAUUUGAAAAAGAGCUACUAUAUAAUAAAAACAUGAUAUGCUAAAGGGUGAAUAAGUGGCUUCUAUAGUUAGAAUGCUAGGUUUCAUGCAGAAUAGCCACAUUUGAUAAAGGGGACUGGAUCGCAUAUUAUGGUUACGACAAUUCAUUUCCUGACUGGGCUUUAUUUUGAAACGUUCCCGGAUGUCAACGGUUAUUUUUGGUGAGAGUUUGACGCCGGUGACCAUACAACACGCCGAGGAAACUCCAUCAAGUCUGCAGGUGAAUGAUUCAUUAGUUGGGGAAUUUUAAUUAACUUGCCACAGACUUGCAUUACCUAGAAAUACUCCGUGGAAGUUAACACCAGCGCAACAAAAUGAAACAAUUUUUAGACAAAAGUAACUUGGUUGAAGUUAAGUAGGAGCUAGCGUACGUGUCAUUACGCUUCUUUAAUAGCAUUUGGGGUACAGUAAAACUGCAAAUACCUUCGUGGGUUAAGCGUAAACUAUUGCGGGUUUAUAUGUUUGUAUAAUGAGCAAAAUAAGUGCAUCGCUAGGCUAACGCGGCUAAUCUACGCGUACAGUGUUGUACUGCUGAAAUAAAACGUGUUCCAUGUAAACUAGUGCCUGAUUGAAUUGCUUGUUUAACUACCCAUGAUAUGCUAUAUGAUUUUUAAAAAUAUACCUUACGUAUCUUAAUUGGUAACAUUCCCUUCCAUUGUGCACAUGAAUGAAUAAAGAUACUGUAAAAAAAAAAAGUGAAACCACCAAACACACUUAACAUGGAUCCGGAAUAAAGUUGAUAAAGAAGAUGUGAAGUUGAUGGUAGUGAUGAACCUGAUUGACAUCAGAAUGGAGGUGUCAAGGAGAAGGAUACCCCGGAAACACCUGGAGCCUGCCAGACCCCUCCGCCGCCUCCAAGUUGACAUGGAUAUUCAACCCCCGAUAUAUGCUCCAUGUGCACAGGCCUUCUUGGAUGCUGAUGAG